AAACGCUUGAAGUCAGUCGCGUUGUCUGAGACUCAGCCCUUGCUAGCUUCUUGCUGGGUGUACUUCUCAGUUUAACGGGUCAACAUCAAUUUCAGUUGAUGGAUAAAGGUUUAUUGGGAAUGUGGCACCUCCGGGUGUGUUAUAACCUUUAGCUGUAUACAGUGGUUGGGACUGAGGCUCUCAGCACGCCUUUAUGGCUGGGUUUCGACCACAUACGUGCUUAGGAUGUUGGCAUAAUAGCUUUAAGCGA
rnacentral:rRNA from 1 species